AUUGAACGCUGGCGGCAGGCCUAACACAUGCAAGUCGAACGGUAACAGGAAACAGCUUGCUGUUUCGCUGACGAGUGGCGGACGGGUGAGUAAUGUCUGGGAAACUGCCUGAUGGAGGGGGAUAACUACUGGAAACGGUAGCUAAUACCGCAUAACGUCGCAAGACCAAAGAGGGGGACCUUCGGGCCUCUUGCCAUCAGAUGUGCCCAGAUGGGAUUAGCUAGUAGGUGGGGUAACGGCUCACCUAGGCGACGAUCCCUAGCUGGUCUGAGAGGAUGACCAGCCACACUGGAACUGAGACACGGUCCAGACUCCUACGGGAGGCAGCAGUGGGGAAUAUUGCACAAUGGGCGCAGGCCUGAUGCAGCCAUGCCGCGUGUAUGAAGAAGGCCUUCGGGUUGUAAAGUACUUUCAGCGGGGAGGAAGGCGAUAAGGUUAAUAACCUUGUCGAUUGACGUUACCCGCAGAAGAAGCACCGGCUAACUCCGUGCCAGCCGCGCCGUAA
rnacentral:rRNA from 1 species